GCAGUGUCAAACAACUCACGUGGCAGACAUGGGAGAGCAAACAACUGCUCAGCUGCUUGAGCAGUGAUAGCAGAUGUUGAUGAAAUGUAUUUGUAGUAUGUCAGCUGAACCAGUACUGAGGUUACAAUAAUGCAAGGAAAGAGUGUUUGGAACAUGUAGCAACAAAAGUGGCCGAAGUCUUGCAAGGCAUUACCGCUGAUGACUGCAAGGCCAAAUUCUCAACUUUGUGGUCUCACUAUGGCGCUGAACUGAAGAAAAUAGGCCAGAGCGAGAGCAUUGGCUCAUCCGGUGCCGUAUACAGGCCGAGAGUCUGGUAGUUUGAUGUUUUACAUUUCCUGAAAGACUUCAUUUCACCACGCGAAAGCCGGUGUAACAUUCCGAACAGUGUUGUCUAUGGGAAGCACGUACAUUGAUCACACAACAGCUUCAGUAAAAUCAAGACUUAAAAGUGAUACUGUGACACUUGUUGAUGGCAAUACCUGCAAGCUCAUAGGACAGUUUGAUGAUGUACAUAAUUG